rnacentral:rRNA from 1 species
GACGAACGCUGGCGGCGUGCUUAACACAUGCAAGUCGAACGGUGAAGCGCCUUCCUUUUUGGUGGGUGUGGAUGAGUGGCGAACGGGUGAGUAACACGUGAGUAACCUGCCCCCUUCUUCUGGAUAACCGCAUGAAAGUGUGGCUAAUACGGGAUAUUCUGGGUCUGUCGCAUGUUGGGUCUGGGAAAGAUAUUGUUUCGGUGGGGGAUGGGCUCGCGGCCUAUCAGCUUGUUGGUGGGGUGAUGGCCUACCAAGGCGGUGACGGGUAGCCGGCCUGAGAGGGUGGACGGUCACACUGGGACUGAGACACGGCCCAGACUCCUACGGGAGGCAGCAGUGGGGAAUAUUGCACAAUGGGCGCAAGCCUGAUGCGGCGACGCCGCGUGAGGGAUGGAGGCCUUCGGGUUGUGAACCUCCUUCGCCAGUGAAGCAGGCCUGCCUCGUUUGUGGGUGGGUUGACGGUAGCUGGAUAAGAAGCGCCGGCUAACUACGUG